UCUAUAUACUGCUUGAUCUUUUUAAUAUAUAAAAACGCUCUACAUGGUUUACAAAAAUAAAUACCUCUUGGAUGUUACUGCAUUACUGUGGAGAAAGAUGUAGAUAGGGCCAUUAUAGAAAAUCUAUAUGUGCCUAAGCUAUUCAGAUAUUUCAUCAUAAAAGAAGAAUGUGGCCUCUUUCUAUAGGAAAUCUAAUGUGCUUUUCCUACAGAAAGAAACCACAUAUUUCUUUUAUGAUGAAAUAUUUGGACAGCCUCUGCAAAUUAAUGUGAUCAUACAGUGGUUGUCUAGAGAACAGUAAUGAACUAAAGCAAAAUUGGUCAUUGUUUUCAAGUAACAUUAUUCUCAGUAAUGAAGCAUCUUAAUUAUGAAAAUGUGGCAAUAUUGAUGCUCCUUUAAGAAAAGUUUAUAGUCUAAAUAAUAAAUAUGCAAUUGAAAUAGAUGUAAAAGUUGGAAUUGAUUUUCAGUGAUGCUGAUGAUAAACAGGAUAGCACUGGGAUUUGGGAGUUGGUGGGAGGCUGUGGAAGGGGCCAGGAUUGCCAGAGAUUCUCACAAUCCACCUAAAAGCAAAACAGAAAAUGCAGCAUGUCAUUCAUAAAGAGGGAUUAUACUUUCCUCAAAGAUUAGUUUUUAGGACUUAUUUUGACUGACUGAGAUUAAAGGUCAAAAGAGUCCUGCUGGAUCAGGCCAAAGGUUUAUCUGACCAGUUUCCUGCUUCUGUUUGGUGAACUGGGAAAUUGCCAUCACCAGCUGCUAUAAAACAUAACAGAUGUGCACAUUUUUCAAGGUGUCUAACCAUGGAAGUUAUGAAAUUGUUUUUUGUAGGAUAUGUACCUGUUGGCCAAUCUUUGAUGCCAUUCUUCUUAGGUUGCCUUGAACAGGGAAGUAAAACAAUGGUUUCCAACUGUAUGUCUUUUGCACAGGGGUCAUCUGUAGCAUUCUUUAUGCGAAGCAAAUUUGUUUUUCUCCCCAUUAGAGACCAUAUUAGCAUGGCCUCUGAUUUGUGAUUUAGCUUGUUACAUAUUCCACAGAAAUUAUUAUGCUUCGGUAGAGCAAUUACUGGGUAAAUGCAGAUUUGAGGCAGCCAGCCAAGCAUGAUGCCAAAGGAGCAUUGCAGAACAGGGUUGACACAUGCAUAGUAUUUCAAAAUCUGAAUAAUCACAUCUUCCCAAUAUGUAACUAAGAUGUACUAUCUAAGUGCAUCUGUUACUUCCUCAGUAAGUUUAAACUGAAGUUUACAAGGAUGCUUCUGCAAAUAUGCCUUUGUUUUGGCAUGCCAGAGAUACAGAUAAUCAUUAGGAUGACUGGAUAAUCUGAAUCUGAAUUCUUGAUAUGAAAAUUAAUAAUAAUAUUUAUUUAUACCCCGCCCAUCCGGCUGGGUUUCUCCAGACACUACACUAGCACAGAGGCUACACCAGUCUUCCUGAGCUCUCCCCCACCCAAUUUUUUAGAGUACAGUUCCCAUCAGUAACACCCAACGUUGACUGUGGGGCUGAUGGGAGCUGUGGUCUAAAAACAUCUGGAGGGCACAAGCCCAUGGAAAGGAAAAAUGGGAAAGAAGAACCAGAUUUUUAAAAAUGGUGUUUUAGUAGCUGGAGGAGGAGAGGACAGAGGGUGAAGAAAGAGCUGUAAAUACUUUGGACCCAUGGGAAGCUCAACAAACCUGUUUUGUGUGUGUGUGUGAGUGUUUGUCUUUGUGUGUGUAACUUUGUAUUAAUGUAACAUUUUUAUAUCUAACAGUGUAUUUUUGGAAUAUUUGUUUCAAGUUGUUGUUGCUUAGAGAUAUUUUUAAUAUAUCAAGUGGUACAGAAAUUAAAUAAUCAAAUCAAAUAAAAAUGUUUUAACAUAAAUUGAGUUAUUGUUGGAUUUGUCAUGUUAUAUUUAGAUAUGAUUUAGUAUAGUAUAUUCUGUAUUUUAAUGUUUGAUGUUAUAUGCUGUAAGACUCCCAGAGUGGCUGGGGAAACCUAGCCAGAUGGGCAGGAUAUCAAUUAAAAUGUUGUUGUUGUUGUUAUGAUGUAGGGCUCUCCAUUUUUUGUUUUAUUCUGAGCCAUUUGAAGCAGGUUUAUAUGGAAAAGGAGCAUACAAAUUUAAAUAAUAAAUAAUAUUUUCUGUAGUAGGGCACUGCAGAAUAGAAUAUUUCUGUACUGUCAAAUCAUAGAAUGUCAGGGCCAUGUACAAUUUUAACAUCCCUACAACCAUAAGGUUUUGGGUACCUGAAGUGAUUAUCUUGUCAAAACUCUGGGCUACAUCCGGUGGAUAUUAUAUCUCAGAUUGAGUUUUACAUACCAUGUAUGUAUUGUUCAAUUUCUUUGGUGGAUGAAUUUACGUCUGACAUUUUCCAUGUGUGCAGUUCCCUUUUACCACAAAUGUAGAGAUUAUAUAGUUACUUUACACUCUGACACCAUGCAGAGUUAAGAGAGACUCCAUGGUGAUGUUCCAGCUUCCCAUACUCCCUGGACAAUGCCACCUCAUGGCUCUUGUUUGUCCAUAUAUACAGGUAAUACCACAAAUAAUGGAGAGAGAGAGAGGUCGUUUUAAAGAGACCAUUUUACCUUGGGAAGCUUUUUGAAGAUGUGUCCAAUUUAAAUGUAACCCCAAAUGCUUUGGAUUGGCAUCUAUUCCACUUCAGAAAUGCCUAUUUCCCACCUAUGGACAAGUGUAGGUGCAGCUAGUGAUGUGGGUGUUCUGGAAAACUUUGAAUUAGAAAAUGUUCAGCUUGCAUUGGAAAAUGUUCGCAUGCCCUGGGGAGUGGUCAUAUUUAGCUUGUAUUUAGUGAACAAAGCCUUUAAAAAGUACCCCUCUUCAUAUUUUAACCCAGUACACCGCAAACAUUUGAUCUGAAAUAUUUGGGAGGGAAAAUGUAAGCACAUUUAAUGUGCUUUAAGUCUUACAGUGCAUUUCCUUUCCAUUGUUUAAAUUUUAAGAAUAAAAGCAAAGGCACUGGGUACUACUGACACACUAAUAAAUUUUAGCCUUCUGAAGAACUGUGCAUGAUAUGUUGACUGGCAUACUUGCUAGGGAUAAUCAUCUGAAAAACAUUACUGAAAACCAUUAAUUAAAAUUUUGAAACUCCCCAGCUUGCCUAUUAUUGUAGUUCCAGUUGGCAUUCAUUCAUUGUUCCUAAUAAACUGGUAAAAUGAAAGAAAAUCCACACACACACACACACACACACACACACACGAAAGUGUUCUGUCUUGAAAACAAUUCUGCAGAAAAGUUUCCAUCCCACAUCAAUGGGUGCAUCCAAAUGGAGUUGUUUUGAUACUUUGGGGCAGACUUGUAUUCAGAUGUGUGUGGAUAGCAAUAGCCUAACUUGUGUUUACCCUGUUAUAUGGCAAAUUCUAUUUUAAGCUAAGUCAGUAUUUCAUCUAAGCCAACAAUGUGUUUGUGGCGGUGGUCUUAAACCCAUCACUUUAUGUGUUUUCCAUUGCCCAUGAACAACAACUUUUUUUUCCUUUUUUAAAGCCUAUCCAUUUUGCUCUGGGCAUUUCAGCAGCUCUGUCCUAAAUCCACAUAAGCCUUCAACUACAGUACCUAAAAUAUGGCCUUAAGGGAAUAGAUGGUGAGGAUUGGUUGCUCCCUGGCUUGGCUAAGAAAGAUAUGCAUGACGUUCUUCAUGCAUUUCCCCCCCAGAUAC